ensembl:lncRNA
CAUGUACCGUGGCCGCCAACCGUGCUCGAUAAAAUCGCACCACACCAGCACCCACGCGAAGAUGGGAAGCGUGAACCACUGGUCCAAAACAGCGGGCGCACGAAGGAGAGUCGCGAGGCGCACCCACUGCACAGCUCCUUCAGCUCUUUCAAGUUCAACUUCAGUCCCAUCAGCUUGGUGGACGAGAUUCUAACAGGAGAGGAGUGGUCACCAUUCCUGUCCAUUAAGGACAGUCCCGCCCCCUCACUGUCCGUUUACCAAUCAGAGGCUGCUAGCCAACACGGUGGUGAUGAAGGCGACCAAUUAAAGACUGAACCAGAGUUGCGCCUCCCCAACGACGUUCAACAUAACCACGAGGACAUAGGCCAUUCUUUAUAUGAGGAUGUUCACUUCAGCCAAUCAAGUUCGAAUGAGAUUGUGGACAACCAAUCGGACAAAAGACAACAGGAUGUAGACAACAACAAUGACACUGGAGCUGAUGCAAUUGCUGUCAUCAAACCGAAGAUACUAUUGGACAAUGAUGCAGCGGAGGAGAGUGAGUUGGACCACUCCAGACCCAUAUCUAAGGACAUCCAUGACUCUAAGUCCCCCAUAAGGAACCAAUCAAAGGACCAUCUUGACUUCUCCUGUGUUAAGGUGAGCCACACGGUGGGAUUGUGGGCAUUGUAGUCAUUUAAAGUGCAGUUGUAGGCCUCUGUCUAUAGGCCUCUGUCCAACCCUGUUCCUGGAGACAUAACCCCCUGUAGGUUUUUUGCUCCAACCCCAGUUGUAACUAACCUGAUUCAUCUUCAUCUUAUCAGCCAGCUAAUUAUUAAAAGCAGGUGCUCUAGAUUAGGGUUGAACACCUACAGGACAGUAGCUCUGCAGGAACAGGGUUGGAGAGCCCUGGUAUAUAAACACUCACUGAAAAAUCUCACUCUCUUGUUCUUAUUCUCUCUCUCUCUCUCUCUCUCUCUCUCUCUCUCUCUGUCUCUCUUUUUUCUUUUCCCUCUAUUCUCACACCUCUCUUGUUCUCUUCUCUUCUCUCUCUUCUCUCUCUCUCUCUCCUCUCUCCUCUCUCUCUCUUCUCUCUCUCCACUCUCUUUCUUAUUCUCUCUCUCUUUCUUUUAUUUCCUUUCUUUCUUUCUUUCUUUCUUCUUUCUUUUUCUUCUUUCUUUCUUUCUUUCUUUCUUCUUCUUUCUUUCUCUCUCUCUCUCUCUUUCUCAGUCACUUGGAGUUCUGGACAGUUCUGCUCAGAAACAUAAAAUUCAUCUGAGCAAAAAGAGAAAGCACAGACUUCCGGGGCUAAAGACGAGAAGUAAGAUUGAAUGACUGGAAAACGAGAUGAAAGAUUCUGUGAAAAUAGACAGCUGGAAAGGAGUUGGACAAAAGCUUCGACGCUGAAAUAUAAAAAACAUGUCUGCUGUUCUCUCCUUCUUUCCUGAAACAGAGACCUUCAAGAUAAGACGCACUGCAAUCAAAGCCCCGGAAAUCAAAUUCCUCAAACCCUCUCCUCCUCCCACCCUCUCUCCCACAUCCCUCCCUUCUUCCUCCUCUUCCUGCUCCUCUCCCUCCUAUGUCUUUCCGUCCUCUGUUUUCUACAGCAUCCCUCCGUCCGCUGAAGAACACGACCACGGGACAACACCGACACAGGGCAACUUCUCCGUUAAGGUCAGAGUUCAUUUGACCCCUUAACCCUUGGCAACAUUUUUGAACACUGUAACAUUAACAUGUGUCUCUGAAGUGUGUCUGAAAUGGCACUCUACUCCCUAGUGUACUACAGGAAUAGGGUGUAAUUUCAUACAGACUGUUGCUUAUUACUGAAUGUAAUAAUGUAUAUUAGCAUCACUAGCCAGGUUUCCAUCCAACCUUGUUAUGCAAGUAAAGCACAAAAAUGUCAGGGCAUGCCUGAUGGACACAACACAUUUGUCGGUAAACUUUCCAAAUGUCGACAAAACAAAAUACGCUAGGUAAGAUGGGAUCUUUUUGUGUCUGUAAAAUGAACAAUGUGAGAAAUGGCAGUGGCACCUUUAUAAUCAGAUAUUGACAUAACAACCAUCAUAUCAACAUCCGUGUUGUCUGAAUGAGAUUCUGUAAAAUCUGAAUACAUGGAUUAAUUUAAGUACAAGUAUAUGGUGUUGUAUGGUGAAAUGAUUGAGGGUCAUAAGAAGUGAGAGAUCUGACUAUUAUGAGGUGUUGGGGAGUUUUCAACACUUUUCAGUAGCCAGCCUCUGAGACAGCGUUAAUUUAACUGUAGUUCAUUGUGCUAGAAAGUAAGCAUUUCACUGUACUUGUGCAUGUGACAAUAAAUACACCUUUAUGUGCAGAUAUUGAUAUAAUAACCAUCAUAUCGAAGUAAACUUGGAUUCAGGUGAUAUGUGGUGUGGUCCUCCCACUAUGACUUGGGAAAACAUGCUGUUUAUUAGGCUACGGAUGAAAUAAAUGACGAUGAACUCAACAUGGUGGGGAAAGUGCACAGUGAUGAGCUUGAUCCUGGUUUGACAAAUCAAAAUAAUCUUGUUCUUUUUGUCCAUAAUAAUCUCAUAAUGUAUGCUAAACCAGCACUGUAUCUGUAUCUAACUGUUGGCUAGAGAGCACGUGCUAAAACCAGAGUGGGCACAUUCACUAUACAGUCUAAUGCAAGAAAUGUUUUCACAAAACCGUCAGUAGAGUUGAAAAUGCGAUGGAAACGCAUUUAACCACAACUUAGUUUUAUGUGAACUAUGUCAUCACGCACAGCUUUUUAUCCACAACAAGUCAAUUUAAAGGAAACAUCUCUGGUGGGAAAAUGCUUAAAUUGUUUUUAUGCAGAUUCUAGAAUUUUUGAACAGAUGAACAUCUGUCACCAAUUGGAUGGGAACCUAGCUAUUGGCAGAGACCACUUCAGUCCUCCAAAGAUUUCAAAAUGGUUCCCUCUCUCUCUUCUCUCUCUCUUCUCUCUCUCUCAGACCACUGAAUGCAGCAGAAAGCCAGAUGCAAGUCCUAAGCUGCCUCUGUCCAAGUUCAUGACAGUCCUGAGAGACAAAACCAAGAAGAAGAUUCAAUAGUGAAGAGAACUAGGUCUUGGUGAUCAAAUAGUAACCCAUAGCUCCUUCUACUAGCCCCUACCUGCACCCUACCUCUCGGCCCUACCUGCACCCUACCUCUAUCCACUACCGAACCCUACCUACCUCUAACGCUCCUAACUGCACCCUACCGAGGCCUACCUUGCCCCCUACCUCUAGGCCCUACCUUCACCCUACCUCUAGGCCCUACCUGCCACCCUGACCUGCUAGCCCCUACCUGCCACCCUACUCUUAGCCCCUACCUUCCACCCUACCUCUAGGCCUCUACCUCACCCCAUCCCUCCCCUACCCCUACCUGCACCCUACCUCUAGCCCCACAUGCACCUACCUCUAAGCUUCUGACUGCACCCUACCUCCUAGCCCCUACCUGCACCCACCCACCUCUAGGCCCUACCUGUACCCAACCGGCACC